GACGAACGCUGGCGGCGCGCUUAACACAUGCAAGUCGAACGGGUGGCUUCGGCCAUCAGUGGCGAACGGGUGCGUAACACGUGAGUGACCUGCCCUUGUGAGGGGGAUAACCCGGGGAAACCCGGGCUAAUACCGCAUGAGCUCUCCGGGUCGGACUGGAGAGGAAAGCCGCUGCAAGGCGGUGCACAGGGAGGGGCUCGCGGCGUAUCAGGUAGUUGGUGGGGUAAUGGCUCACCAAGCCGAUGACGCGUAGGGGGUCUGAGAGGAUGGCCCCCCACAUUGGGACUGAGAUACGGCCCAGACUCCUACGGGAGGCAGCAGUGGGGAAUCUUGCGCAAUGGCCGAAAGGCUGACGCAGCGACGCCGCGUGCGGGAGGAAGCUCUUCGGGGUGUAAACCGCUGUCAGGAGGGACGAAGGUCCCAGCGAGGAAAUGCGUUGGGGAUGACGGUACCUCCAGAGGGAGCACCGGCUAACUCCGUGCCAGCAGCCGCGGUAAUCGGAGGGUGCG
rnacentral:rRNA from 1 species